rnacentral:snRNA from 1 species
AACUCUGGUGGAAGCCCG